AUGAAAAAUCGUAUUUCGCACUAAUUAUUUUUUGUGUAUCUUUUAACUCCAGGGCCGCCAACUUACUUCGCACGCGUCAAAUGAUUGUUUCAUAUCUGUAGAGUGGGGCAAAGAACGUGGCAGAUGUGUCAGAUAUCUUGGCUCUGAGCCUCAUCUGCUCCUGGUCCUGUGACAUUUGAUUAGUUUUCGAUUAUCUGAAUGGUACUUGUCAAAAAUCGGAUAAUGACAAUACCACAGAAGACAUCCUUUUUUUUUGAUUCAAAUUACUAAAUUGAGUGCAAGACAAGAUGACGGCAUGUCGUGCCAGCUCGAGGGAUCUGCGAUGCACACUUUAGAUGCUGCAUGCAUAAACAGAAGAAGGCGCUUGGUCCGCAUCAAAUUGCCACAAGAUCCCGAGAUGUGAGGAGCUUCUCUAAUAAACGUUCGUUCUUUGGCUAA